GACGAACGCUGGCGGCAGGCCUAACACAUGCAAGUCGAACGAGUGGCGGACGGGUGAGUAAUGUCUGGGACACCGCCUGAUGGAGGGGGAUCACUACUGGAAACGGUAGCUAAUACCGCAUACCAUCAGAUGUGCCCAGAUGGGAUUAGCUUGUUGGUGGGGUAACGGCUCACCACGGAGACGAUCACUAGCUGGUCUGAGAGGAUGACCAGACACACGUGAACUGAGACACGGGCCAGACUCCUACGGGAGGCAGCAGUGGGGAAUAUUGCACAAUGGGCGCAAGCCUGAUGCAUCCAUGCCGCGUGUAUGAAGAAGGCCUUCGGGUUGUAAAGUACUUUCAGCGGGGAGGCGUUACCCGCAGAAGAAGCACCGGCUAACUCCGUGCCAGCAGCCGCGGUAAUUC
rnacentral:rRNA from 1 species